rnacentral:misc_RNA from 1 species
AAGUCGUAACAAGGUUUCCGUAGGUGAACCUGCGGAAGGAUCAUUACACUCAGUAGUCUUCUACUGCUCAGCGGGAGCGGAAAGCCUGCCAGCCUGCUGGCUUGCGAGUACGCCCUCUGUCUGAAACCCUUGUCUUUUUGCGUACUCAUGUUUCCUCGGUGGGCUUGCCCGCCGGCUGGACAACCUAUAAACCUUUUUAAUUUUCAAUCAGCGUCUGAAUAAUUAUAAUAAUUACAACUUUCAACAACGGAUCUCUUGGUUCUG